GACGAACCGUCCAAACGUUAUUCGGAAUCACUGGGCUUAAAGGGUGCGUAGGCGGCGCGGAAAGUUGGGUGUGAAAUACCUCGGCUUAACCGAGGAACUGCGCCCAAAACUACCGUGCUCGAGGGAGAUAGAGGUGAGCGGAACUUAGGGUGGAGCGGUGAAAUGCGUUGAUAUCCUAAGGAACACCGGUGGCGAAAGCGGCUCACUGGAUCUCUUCUGACGCUGAGGCACGAAAGCUAGGGUAGCGAACGGGAUUAGAAACCCCAGUAGUCC
rnacentral:rRNA from 1 species